rnacentral:lncRNA from 1 species
GGGAUCGGCUCCCUGGUGCACAUGUGAGAGGAUGAGCCAUGUGGGAGGACGGCUCAUCGGGGGUUCGGUGACUCCACUGACUAAUUUCCACGUGAUGUGAUUAUAUGAAGAUGUUAAUGAUUGUGAGUGCUGGUGAUUUGCCAUUUGUGUGACCGGCUGCGUGAGCAUAUAGCUAGUCGGAUGACUAGAUCGAUAUAUUUACACAUUUGUGUGACUGCAUGUGUUGUGUGAUAAUUAUUUCUGCUUAGAAAACUCACAAGUCUUGCUUGAUUUUUUUUCAGGAAGUAAGUUUUUCUUUAAUCCGAUUUAGGCUAUG